rnacentral:rRNA from 1 species
ACACAUGCAAGUCGAACGUGAAAGGGGCUUCGGCCAUGAGUAAAGUGGCGCACGGGUGAGUAACACGUGGAUAAUCUACCCGAUGGGCCGGGAUAACACUUCGAAAGGGGUGCUAAUACCGGAUAAGCCCACAGGCUCUUUGGAGCAUGCGGGAAAAGGUGGGGACCUUCGGGCCUACCGUCAUCGGAUGAGUCCGCGGCCCAUUAGCUAGUUGGUGGGGUAAUGGCCUACCAAGGCAACGAUGGGUAGCUGGUCUGAGAGGAUGAUCAGCCACACUGGAACUGAGACACGGUCCAGACUCCUACGGGAGGCAGCAGUGGGGAAUUUUGCGCAAUGGGGGAAAGCCUGACGCAGCAACGCCGCGUGAGUGAUGAAGGCCCUCGGGUCGUAAAGCUCUGUCAGAGGGGAAGAAACUUUUGAGGGAGUAAUAUCGCCUGAAANUGA